rnacentral:sRNA from 1 species
GGUAUCGGCCGAGCGCUUCGGUACUAUUGUAGAAAA